AACAAAAAGAUAUAAUCUCUUCGGCAUGCCCCCAGCCUUCACCCUGGACUUCCACCUGGAUUCAACCCUCAAGAGAAGUGGUUCAUUUGUCGACACCGGACGAAGAUCAUCAAUGUGCAAGCCAUCAGCUGCAUCAUCCACCUUUCAUCAGGCCAGACCAUUGAUCCUCCACCCGGCAGGGGGUCCUUUCAGUAUGCAGCCUAAUGUUCUCAUUAUGUGUCCUGCAUGGUCCCUUUGCUGAUGACUGGCUGAUUACCAUCUCAUUAAGAGACAUGGCCAGGCAGGGGAGAGAAA